rnacentral:lncRNA from 1 species
CCGGAAAUCUCAUAGCCAGUGGCGUCUCUGCCCCAGCUUCGCUCAUGACCACAGGGUUUGCUCUGCCCACUCAACCCAGUGGGCUACACUCAGCUCGCGCUACCAGCCCAGAAACUGCUCCCGCUGCAGCUCUGCACUCAGCUCGCUAUUGGUCCAGGCAUGUCGCAACUGGCUUCCACCUUGGGCACUGGUGUCUGGAUGAGGAGGACGUAGUGGUGCCCAAAAACUCGGAGUGGCAAGCAACUGCGGAGCUCCAAGUGGUGUUAUGGCUCUCACCCAAGGAGUCCUGAGGUCUGAGCCACCAAGAGAUGUUACAGCUCCCUCGCGUUCCUGCCGCCUGCAACAUGGCAAACGGGGGUGUGUUACAGAUCAUUCGUUUUACAGUUCAUUUGUGUUAUAUCUCGUUUGUUCUCGCUGCCCACAGGGCGAGUUCUGGGUUUUUGUCCUGCAACCAAGAGGAAUUAGGUACGCAGACAGUGGAGAGUAAGCAGCGUGGAGAAGAAUUUUAUUGAGCAACAGAAGGAAAGCUGUCAGUGGAGAGGGGACCCAAGGGAGGGAAGUCAUCUGCGUGAGAGGGGGCCCAGAAAGUGGAAAAAGCACCAUUUGACUGGCUAAAAUGCGUUGAGGGUAUUCUCACUCUGGUCUUGGACGCUAUCCAAAACUGUCUGCUGGGUUUUCAGUUCAGGCUUCAGGCUGUCUUUGGCUUGAAGGUCGGCUUUCACCGGGGACCUGUCCCUAUCUGCCUAGGAAUCUGUCUGCCUCCUUUUGCUAUCAAUCCCUCCUCUGAAGAGGGAAAACAGCAGUCAGAUCUCUCAGUGGCCUAUCGAAGUGUUUUCUGUGUAAUGGGAACAGGUAAUGGGACCCGGUAAUGGGACCCAUUGCCCGUGGCUCCUUUUGCAUGACCAUUUGGAGUUUGAUGGUCUCUAGAAUGACUCUGAGUUGGACUAGAUCUCUUCAUGCUUACCCAGGCUAUCUUACAUAUCAGCAUAACUGAGAAUUCAACAAGGAGGUAAAGAGGAACAAUGGGUCUCUGGUUUUACUGUAUAAAUCUAUCAGCCAGUCAAAUUCUUACAUGUCUAUUUUAAGCAUGGGAGAGGCUCCAAAGAGAAGUAAGACUAAAGCUGUUUGCUUGUAAAGCUGCAUUGAUUUGGGAUUCUUUCUGGACCAAAUGAAUUAGAAUCCUGGAAAGGUAAGGCCCAGAUAUAAUUACAUAUUUUUGAAGCUGACCAAAUGAUUUAAAAAUGUAUCCAC